GAUGAACGCUGGCGGCGUGCCUAAUACAUGCAAGUCGAGCGAACGGACGAGAAGCUUGCUUUUCUGAUGUUAGCGGCGGACGGGUGAGUAACACGUGGAUAACCUACCUAUAAGACUGGGAUAACUUCGGGAAACCGGAGCUAAUACCGGAUAAUAUUUUGAACCGCAUGGUUCAAAAGUGAAAGACGGUCUUGCUGUCACUUAUAGAUGGAUCCGCGCUGCAUUAGCUUGUUGGUAAGGUAACGGCUUACCAAGGCAACGAUGCAUAGCCGACCUGAGAGGGUGAUCGGCCACACUGGAACUGAGACACGGUCCAGACUCCUACGGGAGGCAGCAGUAGGGAAUCUUCCGCAAUGGGCGAAAGCCUGACGGAGCAACGCCGCGUGAGUGAUGAAGGUCUUCGGAUCGUAAAACUCUGUUAUUAGGGAAGAACAUAUGUGUAAGUAACUGUGCACAUCUUGACGGUACCUAAUCAGAAAGCCACGGCUAACUACGUG
rnacentral:rRNA from 1 species